ensembl:snoRNA LOC120096117 small nucleolar RNA SNORA17
CCUGCCCUUAGAGGUACCAGUGCAGCUGCUGUGUCACACGUGUGGCCAUAGGUGGCAGAGAGAAGAGAGGCUGUGUCUACACUCAGUGCUCUGACCUGUGAACAUCUGAAUGAUUAGUAGCCUAACACU